UAGGGAAUCUUCGGCAAUGGGGGCAACCCUGACCGAGCAACGCCGCGUGAGUGAAGAAGGUUUUCGGAUCGUAAAGCUCUGUUGUAAGAGAAGAACGUGUGUGAGAGUGGUAAGUUCACACAGUGACGGUAACUUACCAGAAAGGGACGGCUAACUACGUGCCAGCAGCCGCGGUAAUACGUAGGUCCCGAGCGUUGUCCGGAUUUAUUGGGCGUAAAGCGAGCGCAGGCGGUUUAAUAAGUCUGAAGUUAAAGGCAGUGGCUUAACCAUUGUUCGCUUUGGAAACUGUUAAACUUGAGUGCAGAAGGGGAGAGUGGAAUUCCAUGUGUAGCGGUGAAAUGCGUAGAUAUAUGGAGGAACACCGGUGGCGAAAGCGGCUCUCUGGUCUGUAACUGACGCUGAGGCUCGAAAGCGUGGGGAGCAAACAGG
rnacentral:rRNA from 1 species